rnacentral:rRNA from 1 species
UUAUUGGAGAGUUUGAUCCUGGCUCAGGACGAACGCUGGCGGCGUGCCUAAUACAUGCAAGUCGAGCGGAUCAAUUAAGAGCUUGCUCUUAUGAGAUCAGCGGCGGACGGGUGAGUAACACGUGGGCAACCUGCCUUACAGACUGGGAUAACUCCGGGAAACCGGAGCUAAUACCGGAUGACCAAUUGGACCGCAUGGUCCGAUUGUAAAAGUUGGGAUUUAUCCUAACACUGUGAGAUGGGCCCGCGGCGCAUUAGCUAGUUGGUGGGGUAACGGCCUACCAAGGCGACGAUGCGUAGCCGACCUGAGAGGGUGAUCGGCCACACUGGAACUGAGACACGGUCCAGACUCCUACGGGAGGCAGCAGUAGGGAAUCAUCCGCA